UGAGCAGUGGGGUGAUGAUCAAAACCCAUGGAUUGUGUCAUUUUGGGUGAAGAACAGUACACCUGUGACCCGGCUGUGCUCAGGCAGCCAUGGGUAUGGAGUAAUGAUAACAAAAAGAUAGCCUCCAGAUACUCAUCACAUGCCAACAGGAUUACGGAGCAUAAACAUUCAACACAGCUUCUUAUUUCAUCAAGCUGAACCUGCUGAUGAAGACUUCUUCCUACAGCUAUGGGAGGCAUUGCAAUUGCAGGCUCUUCUCCUGCUGGGAGACUUCAACCACCCUAACAUCUCCUGGAAAAGUAGCACAGCAAGCUGUAGGCAAUCCAGAACUCUCCAGGAAUCUAUCAAGGAUAACCUCUUGAACCAAGUAAAAGACAGGGAGUUGGAUAGGAUGACCUUUAAAGAUCUGUUCCAACUCAAACAAUUAUAUGGUUCUAUGAUUAUAUGUUUAACACCUCAAUUCUUUUACAACUAUUUUGCACCUUAUCGAUUGCAGAUUAACAGUAGGAGUUCUCCUUUUAUUGAUAUAUUUUCCUGUCUCAACUUUAUGAACCAGUAUGAAAUUCUCCCAUUUACAUCUCUUGUGUGGUGUCCUUUGCACUUGUUUUACUAUAACAGAUUGCAUUUCUCUAACUUCCAGAUCAAGUUAACUGAAGCUACGUGUAUAUUUCUGUGUAUUAAAUCCUAAUUCCC
rnacentral:lncRNA from 1 species